UACAGAGGGGGCAAGCGUUAUUCGGAAUUAUUGGGCGUAAAGGGCGCGUAGGCGGUCGUGCAAGUGGAAGGUGAAAUCCCUCGGCUCAACCGAGGAACUGCCUUUCAAACUGCAUGACUUGAGUCCGGGAGAGGUGAGUGGAAUUCCUGGUGUAGCGGUGAAAUGCGUAGAUAUCAGGAGGAACACCGGUGGUGUAGACGGCUCACUGGACCGUAACUGACGCUGAGACACGAAAGCGUGGGGAGCGAACAGG
rnacentral:rRNA from 1 species